rnacentral:lncRNA from 1 species
UUUUUUUUUUUUUUAAGGUACGAUAAAUUUCCUUUAUUAUGUGUAUACGUUAGUGACAAAUAAAAAAAAAAAGUAAAAAUAAAUAAAUAAAUAAAUAAAUAAAUAAAAUAAAAAACAAUAAAAUUAAAAAAAUUACAACACAAAAAUUGGGGAAACAAAAACAAGAUUGUAAACACCACUUUAAAGUUAAUAAUUAAUGCAUAUAAUAAAACAAUUCAACUUAAGAAUUACUAACCUUUGAGACAUAUAUUAGAUAUAUAUAUAUAUAUAUAUAUAUUUUUUUUUUUUUUUUAAAUAAAAUAUAAAAAAAGUUAUUUGCUUAUGACUUAUAUGCAUUUAGCUUAUAUAUAACAUUUUUAUUUUGCUUACAAUUUUUAUUCUUCUUAUGUUGUUUUAGUUUUAGCUUUUGUUUGUGUUUUUUUGUUCUUUUGCUCUUUUGUUCUUUUUUUUCUUUUAUGUAAGCCACUUUAUUGUAUUUUUAUCAACUUAUUUGUUAUUUUAUACUCAUUUUAAAAUUUUUGUUUAAAGAAUAUGUUGAGAGUUUUAACAAAAUUUGGUACACAAUCACGUAACGAAAAGAAGGCCUUAUUGAAUAGUAUAAGUAGUACAUUUUUGGUGAAUAGUAGUAACAUUACGAAAAGGGAGUAUUCAUCAAUUUAUGUACAAAUAAAAAAUGAUAAUAACAAUAAUGCGAAUAAGUAUGGAAUAAAUAGUAUUUUUGUAAAUCGAAGCAAUAACAAUAAUAAUGCAAGUAAUAAUAAAAACUCGUACAGUUGCCAUUCUUGCCUUUUUCACAUAGACAAAAAAUAUAUCACUCGUUAUUGGGCUGAGUAUAGUAAGCCGAAAGUAGAUGAGUCAAAAAUAAAUGAACUGAGAGAACAAUUUGAUAUUUUAAAAGAUUAUAAUGAUAAAGAUUUAAUGAUAUGGUUAGAAUCUUUUAACAAAAUGGAUAAGGAUCAUGAUAAUUUUAUUUCUCAUGCAGAUUUACAAAAAAGUGAUUGGAGCUUAGAAAAAUAUACGCUCUUCCAAGAUUAUGACAUGGAUAAAAAUAAUCUAAUUGAUUUUGGUGAAUAUAUACAAGCAGUUAUUGAUAUAGAUACACAGCAUUUCAAGAACUUUUUUCAAGAUUUUAGUAAAAUUGAUAUCGACUUAGAAUUUCAAAAAUAUGCGAUUACUGAAAAAGAAAAUGACAAAAAGGUUAUACCUUUAACAAAAUUAAUGCAAAUGCUAAAAGAUAAAGAAUUUACGUGUGUAACCGAAACGGACUCUAUUAAAUUAUUUAAUUCUAUGGACAUUAACAAGGACGGAAGUAUAGAUUUUGAGGAUUUUGUACAGGUACGUAUAAAAAAUAUAAUAUAACGCUAUAGCGUAAUGUAACAUAUAUAUAUAUAUAUAUAUAUAUGUAUGUAUGUAUGUAUGUAUGUAUGACCAUUGUACGCAUCAUUUUUAUUAUAAAAUGAUUGUACUCAUAUAAGUUAACUUGUUCUUAUUUUUUUUUUUUUUAGUGGUUAGGAAAAUAGGAGUGCUACGACUUUAUAAAUAUAAUAUAGGGUUGUACAUAUUUUUAUUUUUACAUACUGGUGAAUUAAUUUGUCAAAAAAAACUGAAAAGUUUGUGGCAAACUUUGUAUAUCAAGAAAGUUUAAAUAAAAAUGGGAUCAAGUAAAAGUAUUUUUAAUUU